AUGGGAGGAGGCGUCAUGCGCACCGCCGCGAAGGUCGGCCUCGCCGGGGGCGCCGCGGCGGCGGCGGGCCGCUUCCGCAACGUCGCCCCGUCCUUCGCCACGGCGCCCGCCGCCGAGGCCGCGUCGGCGGCGCCGCUGCUGUCCGCGGCCGGGGAGAUCCCCGCGGUGGCGCCGGCCGGGUCGCAGUGGGCGUCCUGGGAGGUGGACGACUGGGAGUUCGCGGACUGGAGGUCCGAGUCGGCGUCCGAGGCGGACGUGGCGGUGGUCGGGGGGCCGAGGCUGGUCUUCGCCCCGCCGUCGCGGGAGGAGGCCGAGGAGGCCACCGCCGAGCUCCGGGAAGCUAUUGACAGGGUUUAUUUUAAAGAGACUCCAGUAGAAGUUGUUAAGGAACAUGAUCAAGAGCUUAGCAAGCUGGGAGCCGAUGCAUUGAUUCCUGCUAUGCCGGGACAUGUAGUGCAGGCUUUUACAUUGUUAAAAUCAAGCCCAGAGGCUCAGAGCGUUGUUGCCUCGCUUGCAUCAGAUAAAAAUGUGUGGGACGCGGUGUUGAAGAAUGAGAGGGUUAUGGAAUUUUACAAGAGUCACCAGCAAAGUAUGUUUCACCUUGUCCUAACCUCAAAAGUUACAUCUUGCGUUUAUUGUUUCUCGCAAACUGUACCCCCAUUAUUUUUCUGUGGGUAUUGUAUGACCAUUACUGUCUUCUCCUGUGAUACAGCUCUGGUCAAUACUUUUCCUGAGGGCACCGACUCUACUGACUCAGUAGAGUCACCGGAGAAAUUUGAAGAGGCAUCCCCAGAAUAUGCACUGCCCACUGCCUCGCCUUUGUCGGACUUUGUGGACAAUGCGAAGAAGACGAUGAUGGAGAUGGUUGACAACAUAACCAACUUUUUCCAAGACCUGUUCCACAACCCGGCAGAAGCUGAGGCCGGACCUGGCUCAUCCUCUAAAAAGCCUUCGUUCGCGGAGAUGGCGGCUGGUGGAUCUUUCAUGGCUCUUGCCAUGGCGGUCAUCCUAGUUGUUCUGUUCAAGAGGGCAUGA
rnacentral:rRNA from 1 species